rnacentral:tRNA from 1 species
GCCUGGGUGGCUCAGUGGUUGAGUAUCUGCCUUCAGCUCAGGAUGUGAUCCUGGGGUUGUGGGAUCAAUUCCUGCAUCGGGCU